GGUUCAAACGAGGAAAGGCUUACGGUGGAUACCUAGGCACCCAGAGACGAGGAAGGGCGUAUUAAUCGACGAAAUGCUUCGGGGAGUUGAAAAUAAGCAGAGAUCCGG
rnacentral:rRNA from 1 species